AAUGAUACAAGUUUGAAGGGACAGGUGGCUGGCCCUGACUUGAAUGCUACACAACCUAUACAUGUACUGAAACAUCUCAAAGUACCACAUAAGAGGGACAAUUUUCGCCAAUUAAAAAUAAAUAAGCUGGUCAGGUGUGGCGACGUGCACUAAAAGACAGGCAAGUAGAUUUUUGAGAAGGAGGAGGAGGAGGGAAGGAGGAAGAAGAGGAAGAAGGAGGGAGAUGGGCGAGAAGAGCAGCAGCAGCCACCUCUGCCGUAUUCCCAGCACCGGGGAAGCAAACACAGUCAUCCCUGGGCUUGCGGGCCAGCCCAGCCUAGCUUACUAGGCAGGUUCCAAGCCAGCGAGAAACCCUGUCUCAACAAGGAAGAUGCCAUCUGAUGAAUGAUAGCCAAGGCUGUCCUCUGACGUGCACAUGGACAUGCACACAUAUGCACAUCCACAUGCACACAAGUAUAUAUGUACAUAUGGUACAUGUGCAUAUAAAUAAAGCAAGCUGGAUGUUGGACAAAGGCCUGUAUGUAAUUCCAGGUACUCUGUUGAUCACAAGUUCAGUGCUGGCCUGGACUAGAUUGGAUUCCAGGCCAACCUAAACAACUUAGCGAGACCUUAUCUCAAGAAAUAAGGCCCAGAGACAAGAGUGCCUGCCUAGCCCAAGUGAGGCCCAAGGUUUGAUCCCCAGUGCCCCAGAACAAGCAAGCCAAGUUGUAGAGCUGGCUGGGAAGGCAGGUCAGCCCACUCCCCACUCACUCUGAAUCCACUCCAGCCACCGGUCUCUUCCUCCUUACCCUCAUUAGGCUCAGACCUCCAUCAUCUCUUUGCCUCUCCAGACAUCUCUUGGUAGUGCUGACAUACUGGAGUGUAGCCCCUCAUUCUGGCAGAGCCAGGGAUUAAGGAUGAGAAGCCGCACAGCAUCAUCCCCAUUAGCUCCCCCACAUUCUGCACACAUCUCUAUCAAGAUUUCUUGCAAAUGGGGCACUGUAUACAUCAAGGCAUACAUUUUUUCACAUGUAGGCAUACCAAAACCCUGGGAAGGGGUACAGCAGGAGAGCAACAGAAUACAGUUAGAAUACGGUGGGUGUUUACUUUCUUCUCACCUAAUUUUCCAAAAUUAUUGUCUAUGAGAAUUCCAUGCAUUACAUUUAUAGAGAAAAAUCCAGUAAGUUAAAAUGAAUAGUAAGUACUUACUAGUGCCUCUGGGCAAAAUGAACUCUGAUGCUACCUGUGUUUUACAGCAGACAGAUAAUAGAUGGUCCAUCUGAAGUAUUUUAUGAGGCUUUGUGAUGUAAGAAUAUAUUUGGAACUGGGAAUAGAAGUGCAUGCCUGUAAUCUCAGCCCUGAGGAAGCUGAGGUAGGUGGAUUGUGAGUUUACAGCCAGCCUGGGCUAUAUACUAAGAAACACUGUAUCCAAUAAAUACUUGCUAGUGGGGGCUUAUAUGUGCCAUUGACUUGUGGCUGAAGCCCCUAAGUAGCUGGCCUCAGGAUGGAGAGGAACCAACAUUAGAUAAGAUUGGAACACUCAGCCUUACUCCUAGGCUCUGAGGAACAGACAGGGGCCGCAGGCUGAGCUGAUCACCAGUGGCUAGUGGCUUAAUUAUGCCUAUGUAAAGCAUUUCCCUAAGUUCUGUGAGUUGUUCCAGCAAAUGAUUGAUGCCAGUUGGGGGGUGGGGUCAUAGCCUUGAUUUUACAGCUCACUGGUCAGAAGUACAAGCGUCUGCAUGGGAGACAGUCCGCGAGGGACUGUGCUCUUGAUCUGUGGGGUGGGCACCAACUCUAGGGUCGGAAUUAAACUGAACUGUUGGAUACUCAGCAGCUGAAAAAUGGCUGGCAUGGAAGAACUACACAUCUGACCAUGGAAUAUAAAAAAGAGGAAAAACCAUAGGCUGUUUUUUUUUUCCUUCACAAAGGAUACCUGCUUAAAACCUCGCCAUUCUGCCAUGAGGAAGCCCAGGCUACAGGAGGAGCCACUGUGAGCCUCAGACGAGACCCAGCUGAGGCUGCAGUUCACAACCAGUACAAGACCCUAAAAACUCCUCCAAAAGCCUGUGUCCAGCCACUGUCUGGCUCACUGCAUGAGAGGCCCUGAGUAGCAUAGUCAACCCACAGAAUCUUGGACUGUGGACUCUCCAGAAAUCAAACAGAAGCACAGCCUCAUCUGAGAAGAUGAAAUGCAUCUGAAAGAGACGAGAUCUGCAUCAAAGGAGGCUUGGACACAGAGGUCCUGCUUCCUAAUGCUCUCUAGCAGUUACCCUGGG